rnacentral:lncRNA from 1 species
UUUUGCGUUUUCCAUGACGACUCUGCCUAAAUUGGGAAAAUCUAAGAACCCUAUCCUCGGGUUCUUACCCGGCGGGUGAAUCAGAGUGGCGGUAGCCGGUAAACUAUUUUCUUCUUCUUUUGUUUAGGUUUUUGUAUAGAUGAUAAGCAGAAAUGCUGUUGAUUUAGGUUUAAGCUUUGACAAACGUAUUUCUCCUCCUUUCUGAUGAUGAAUCUAGUUAAAAUCCUGUGAUGUUUCUGUUCGAGAGUAAACCUGCUAUAACUCCUCCGGCGAACAUUAGAAGAUAUCGGGAUAGGAGAAGACAAAGCAAGGAUCGGAAUAUCGCAAACUAUAGGAUUAGAUUUGUGUUGUGAAAACUUGAUGAUCAUUACUACUAAUUUUGUAACAAUUUUGAUAUAGGACUUAGUGUAACAAUUUUGUAACCAGAUUAGUUAACUACUAAGUGUAACUAACUAAGUGUCCUUUAAUGCGUUCCCUCAAGCGUAUUGGAAGUUUUUUUGGUAAGCUUGACACGUAGUAUAUCGAACGCUGGUCGUGGGAGUGGCUUUGUGAGGAGAUCUGUAAUCUGAUCUUUUGUCCCGAUGAACCAAAUUUCGAGUACUUUAGCAAACACUCGUUCUCGAACAAAAUGGUAAUUCAUUGCGAAUUGUUUGGACUUCAUGUGGUGUGAUGGAUUUUUUGAGAUGGCUAUUGCACCAGAAUUGUCACACCAAAUUUUUACUGGCAUUGGAACUUGUAUACCCAGUUCCUUUAUCAGCCUUUUGAUCCAGUCCAGUUCCGUGACGCUUCAAUAUUCCGCUUCGGUUGUGGAGCGAGCUACCAUGCUUUGCUUUUUCGAUCCCCAUGAUAUUAAAUUUGAGCUAUAAUAUACAACAUACGCCUCCUGACUCCGACUAUCGUGUUUAUCUCCCGCCCAAUCGGCAUCGGAGAAGGCCACUAGUUUGGAUGUUUCUGAGUGUUUGAUGUGUAUCACAUGAAAGAUUAUCCCAGCAACGUAGCAAAGGAUUCUUUUUAGGGUCGUCCAGUGUACGAUUGAUGGUGUUUGCAUAAACUGUGCAAUUUUAUUAACUGCAAAUGAUUUGUCAGGGGAUGCUCUUCUGAAUACGAAUAGAACAGGAGGUUCUGAGAUGGCACGCGCGCUCCAAUCUCCUUGGGAUAGAUGGACAGAGGCGAGGAGGAUUGAUCACUACGACUCGCUGUCCCCCGAUGUGAUCUACAUGCCUUCAGCGGCCACCAGCGGGAGCGACUCCUUGGACAGAACAUCCCUUCUAGUUAGGGUUAUUGGAGAGGCAUCGUCUGAAGGACCCAUUGCGGCAUUUAUAAAGGCCAACUGGAAGCCGAGGAGGGUCUACAGGGUAACCAAAGUGAACCAUCAAUCCUUCAAAAUUGAGUUCCAUGAGAUUCAGGACUUUGAGAGAUUACCAUCCAAAAGAUGGGGAUUCCUGGAACACGACUUAAUAUUAAUAAGGAAAUGGAAUGAAAAUGAAAAUACAAUAGAGGAUACCUUGGAGACAAUCCCGCUGAGAGCGCUUAUACAUAACAUCCCCAAGGCAUUAUGGGGGGACGAAGCUAUUGGCCGCAUUGCGAGUGCUCUGGGAAAGCCACUCGAUGCCAAAGCAAGAAACCCACUCGAACCGCACCCAUUUCUCCCACCCCCGAUGGAAGUCCGUGUAAUAGUUGAUACCAACUUCAAAUACCCAGAGAACCUAAGAAUCAGAGCUGAAGGUAACGAGGGACUGCCGGCAAGAGAUACGAUAAUAAACAUUGAAUACGAACAGAGGUUGCCCUAUUGCGCUCAUUGUAGGGGAUAUGGCCACUGGACCCAAAAAUGUAGGGGGGUGAGGAAGCGCGCAGAGGGGUCUGGGCAAAAACCAUAUCGGCAAAGGAAGCUCCGGCGAUCGAAUAUACCACACAUGCCCCCGCCAAUCGGGGAAAUUUUCAAAAUCUUCAAAAAGCAAAUUUUCAAAAUCCAAAAAGCAAAAAGAGACGUACCCGAUCCCAUCCCCGACGUCGCAUCAGGAGAGAGUAUAGGCCUGUCCAGCAACGCCUUCCCACGAUCGAGUACGGAGAUUCGUCUGCAGAAAAUCAAAAUGCAGUAGCUCCACCCGCCGUCUCCCCAGAGGACAAAAACCUAGCUGACGGGAAUCUGCAAAGUGAAGAACCCAACCCCUCAACCGCGUUCGUACUGGAAAGUGGAACUUCCAGAAACGGAUCCAGCCCACACCCACCAACGGAUCCGAAUCCGAACAGUGAUGAUAUGCCCGCGCGCCCGAGUAGCCGACCAGCCCGCUCGGAGCCCCGCCUGACCUCCACGCCCGCGCGCCCGAGUAGCAGACCAGCCCAAUCGGAGCCUCGCCUGACCUCCACUCAUGUGCACCCGAGUAGCAGAGCAACCCCCGGGUCGGUGGCACACCCGACCAGCAACCCGAUCAUACCUAUGAGGGACGCACUGAGUAGCGCUCGCGAUUCUCCGGCACCGGCGACUCCCAGAGCGGAAGGAAAUGUGACACCGCAAAUCCAGAUUGAAGGUCACAGUAUAUCGGAGGAAGACCGGUGGGGAAGGACCCAUAUCUUAUACAAUCUCCCCAACCUAAAUAGUCUUCCCAGGCGAUCGUCGGCAUCGAUGUCUUACCUCAAUGCAUCCAAAGGAAAAUCGCGACAAUCAAUGGGAACAAAUCCGGCAGUGGACGAAGGGGAAAUACAGUCCAGAUUGAAGGCGGCUGAUGAGCGGAUAGCUAACGUGCCAAUUAUCACUUUCAACAGAUUCCAAGUGCUUCAGAGAGGGCCUUCGCGAAGGGUGCCCCCCACUGCGGCGGCAAGGAGCCUCUAAACCAAUCCCAGGAAGAGCAGAGCGUCGUCCCCUACAAUGUCUCUCCUCGUAUGGAAUGGGAGGGGGCUGUGCUCUUCGGAGCACUACAAGAAAACAGGGAAACAGCCACGGCCAAGUUCACUGGCUAAAUGGCAAAAUCCGUGGCUAAAUUGAUUUAGCCACGGGAUUUAGCCACGGGAGUGGCCGUGGCUGUAGGUCUGGUGGCUACUAAUUUUUAGCCACGGAAUUGAUUUUCCGUGGCUAAUAUUAGCCACGGCCAUUUAUUUUAGCCACGGCCAAAAUCCGUGGCUAAUGUUAAAAAUUAGUCACGGUAAAAUCCGUGGCUAAUAUUAAUUUUCCGUGGCUAAAUAAAAUUAAGCCACGGAUUUUGGCCGUGGCUAAUUCCGUGGCUAAAUCCUUAAAUAAAAUUUAGCCACGGAUUUUGGCCGUGGCUAAUACUUAAUUGGCCGUGGCUAAAUCCUUCAAACAGAGUGGAAAUUAAAGGGCCACGGCCAAAAUCCGUGGCUAAAUUCCAAAAGGCCGUGGCUAAUUUCUAAAAAAAUUGUAGGAAAUAUUUACAUUUUAGAAGACGCCUAUUGAAGGUCUUACACAUUCAUAUAACCUAAAAAAAUCAAUCAAACAUAUAUUUACAUUCAUAUUCCAUUCAACCCAUCAUUCAACCAAUCAAUAUCCCUAAAAAUUAUCAAUUCAACCAUUCAACCAUUCAACCAUUCAACCAUACCAUUCAACCAUUCAACCAUACCAUUCAACCAAAACAUACCAUUCAACCAUUCAAUUCCAUACCUAUUGUCAAUUCCAUACCAUUCCAAUCAUUCAACCAUUCAAUUCCAUGUAUUUUUUUGACAUAAAUCAUGUAUUUUUUUUACAUAUCAUUCAAUAACCUAUUGUAGCGAUAAUAACCUAUUGGAGAAGUUCUAACCAGGACGCUUGUUGCUAACUUUCCAAGCUGAUGAUCGAAAGUUGGCAGCUUUCGAAAUCCAAACUUUUGCCUAAAUCCAAACAAAGAAUUAUAUGUUUAGACAGACGUUUAGUCAAAGUACUUAACUUGGUUUUAAUAUAAAAAUGAACUGAGUGAAGCAAAUAAACCACAAAAUGGCCAUAGCACAUAAGAUUCAAACACAAUUUGAAAAACAGCAAAUAAUUAAAACCACACAAUCAAACAUUCUGAUUGAUACAAGAAAAAUCCUUUUCUCUAAAAACAAAUUAACGGGAUCUUAAUUCCCUGAAAAUAUAAUAAAACUCUUCGAUUCAAACAUAAUUUCACAAGCAACUAAAAAUACGAAAUCAACACAAUCAGACCUUAUUAUCGCUACAAGGAAUGAUAUGUAAAAAAUUAUCCCUAAAAAUCAACACAAUCAUUCAACCAAUCAAUAUCCCUAAAAAUUAUCCAUUCAAUAACCAACAAUUCAUACAAUUCAUGUUAUUCAAAACAAAACUAAACCAAAAGAUAAAAGAAGAGGAACCUAUUUGUUGUUGUCAGUCACGCUAUUCGUCCCACUUUUAGUCGGACUUUGAGUCGCUUUUUUGCCAACAUUUUCGGCAUUUGAAUCUCUUGUAGUAGGCGUGGCGAUGUUGUCGCGUCCUUGGCUCGACUGACCCUAAUGUAAAAAAAAAUUGAAAUUACAAAGAAAAUAUGAAUAUUGAUUUAUAUAUAAAUGCUAAUUACCUCAAUCGUCUCUCGACGUAAGUCUUCCCUUAGUUCCUUUAGUAUAUCCGGCAACUGUUUUCUAAUGGCCUCUUGAACUGCCCGAUCAAAGUCUUCUUUACUUUUUUGUUGUUGAAUUUCUAUAUAAUUCGUCGUUGUGUUUUGUGAAGUCGCCAUAUUAUCAUGAAUUGGUAAUGGCAUUGGAUCACUUGCUCUGGUUCCAAGAACACGACCUUUGUUUUUUCCGUUAGUAGCUUUGACCCAUAAUUCUAAAUUAUUAGGGAGUGUGUGUGAUCCAUUAGAUGAGUUGAUCUCAGAAUUUUCUGCUUCCAUAGCAUUUCUUUGAAGCUCAUUAUAGUCAGCCUAUAAAAAUGAAAAUCAAUAAUAAAUAAAAAAUAUGACUUAAAUAUCUUAAAACGAAGCAUUUCUAACGAAUUUUCUUACAAUGAAGCAUCCUCCCUUUGGAUGGGCCCAGUCGUUUGUCUUAGCCAAACUAUGUGUUUUCUUAUAAACCUCACAGUGACCAACUUCAUGACCAGCUUCUUCAUUCUGAUUGUUAUACUCAAAAAAAUUAGAAUGAUAAAUGUAAAAUAUAUGAAAAAAAUGUUUUUUUACCAUUCUUUCAUGAGUGGCCGCAACUGAACAAGAUCCACCCGUGUAUGGCAUGUAAUCUGGAUUGCUUGUCCUAUUUUCUGAUGCUUUUUCUGAUCUUUUUUUCCAAUCUUCUUUUAGCCAAAUUUCAAUCAUUUCACUCCAUACUUCCGCAGAAAGGUAUAUCGGUGGAAAUCUAACGCAAGAUCUGGUAAGUGUGUCAACUUUUGCCAAUUUCUUUGCCUCUUGUCUCGCUUUAUACAACCAACAUGUAUAAUUUAAUUGGACAUAGUUAUCAAAACAUUCACGAGCCAAUUGAAUGUCCUCAAAUGAGAAAUAGCACUACAUAAAGACGAAAACAUUACAUAUUGAAAAAAAUGACAUAUGGAAAAAAUGACAAAUAAAUAAAUAAAUCAUACCAGAAAUUUGACGAAAAUAUUUUCCUUUUCCUCUUCUUUCCAAGAAGUCCAUUUAGUUAAAGGUGACGUUAUAUUACCUUUUACUAAUAUUUCUAUUUGACUUCUUACAUUGUUUGUAAAAGUCUUAUAAAAAACAAUCAAAUUAAAUAAUAAAUUAUAAUGAAUUAUAAUGAAAAUUAAUACUCACCCGCUCUUAAGAAUAGUGGCGGGAGUUGGUGCAUCCGGUUGUCUCAAUCCUUUUGUCCAUUUUCUUCGAUGUUCUUCAUCGAAGCGGUCCUCUACGAUUUCUUCAUCUAUUCUUGCAGAUUGUGAUCGUCCGUCGUUUGUUCGUUUACGACUCCGUCCGCGUGCCAUUUCUAAUGGAAUAUUUUCUAAAUGAAUUUUAAACCAAUACAAUUUUAAACCAAUACAAUUAGUUUUUAAACCAAUACAAUUUUAAAGCUAAGGAUUUUCCCAUGGAAUUAAUAAAAUAUCCAAUAAAACAACAUGGGAAUUAAUAUAAGUAUAUCUAUUAUAAGAUUUCCAAAUAACAGAGAAAUCUUUGGGGAAAACAUAACUACAUAUUGAAUCUUUGGGGAAAACAUAAUCACUAAUCUCAUUUACCAUUCAAUCUUCAAUCAUUUCGAUUCAUAUAUUAUUUUGAAAUGGAUAUGUUAAACACUUUAAUUUUUAAGCAUUUUCUUCCUUAGUAAUUAUUUUGAAAAUUGUCGAUGCUGAUUUUUGUUAAUGAGGAUUUUUAAUUUAACGUUUUUAUGUUUACUUUUCUAUAGGUGGUUCACACUCAAGCCAAGGUUGUAGGAGAACCUCGAUUUGUUAAACAGCAAUUCCUGAAGAAGCUCGAUUAGUUGUGUAUCUCAUUGAUGCUGUAAGGGUGUUUCAAGAAACACUAUUUUCAGAACAAUUGUGAGGGUGUUUCUCUAUUUUCAGAACAAUUUUCAGAACACUAUUUGUAUCCAAGAAACACUAUAAGAGUGAGGGUAUUUCUCAACAAUUGUUUCAUUAUCUCAAAUAUGGUAAUGUCUAAUAGCCUGUACUACACAAUU